rnacentral:rRNA from 1 species
AAGCUUGCUUGUUGGGGUUGUAGGACACUCUAUACGGAGUUACAAAGGACGACAUUAGACGAAUCAUCUGGAAAGAUGAAUCAAAGAAGGUAAUAAUCCUGUAGUCGAAAAUGUUGUCUCUCUUGAGUGGAUCCUGAGUACGACGGAGCACGUGAAAUUCCGUCGGAAUCUGGGAGGACCAUCUCCUAAGGCUAAAUACUCUCUAGUGACCGAUAGUGAACCAGUACCGUGAGGGAAAGGUGAAAAGCACCCCGGAAGGGGAGUGAAAUAGAACCUGAAACCGUGUGCUUACAAGUAGUCAGAGCCCGUUAAUGGGUGAUGGCGUGCCUUUUGUAGAAUGAACCGGCGAGUUACGAUUUGAUGCAAGGUUAAGCAGUAAAUGUGGAGCCGUAGCGAAAGCGAGUCUGAAUAGGGCGUUUAGUAUUUGGUCGUAGACCCGAAACCAGGUGAUCUACCCUUGGUCAGGUUGAAGUUCAGGUAACACUGAAUGGAGGACCGAACCGACUUACGUUGAAAAGUGAGCGGAUGAACUGAGGGUAGCGGAGAAAUUCCAAUCGAACCUGGAGAUAGCUGGUUCUCUCCGAAAUAGCUUUAGGGCUAGCCUCAAGUGAUGAUUAUUGGAGGUAGAGCACUGUUUGGACGAGGGGCCCCUCUCGGGUUACCGAAUUCAGACAAACUCCGAAUGCCAAUUAAUUUAACUUGGGAGUCAGAACAUGGGUGAUAAGGUCCGUGUUCGAAAGGGAAACAGCCCAGACCACCAGCUAAGGUCCCAAAAUAUAUGUUAAGUGGAAAAGGAUGUGGCGUUGCCCAGACAACUAGGAUGUUGGCUUAGAAGCAGCCAUCAUUUAAAGAGUGCGUAAUAGCUCACUAGUCGAGUGACACUGCGCCGAAAAUGUACCGGGGCUAAACAUAUUACCGAAGCUGUGGAUUGUCCUUUGGACAAUGGUAGGAGAGCGUUCUAAGGGCGUUGAAGCAUGAUCGUAAGGACAUGUGGAGCGCUUAGAAGUGAGAAUGCCGGUGUGAGUAGCGAAAGACGGGUGAGAAUCCCGUCCACCGAUUGACUAAGGUUUCCAGAGGAAGGCUCGUCCGCUCUGGGUUAGUCGGGUCCUAAGCUGAGGCCGACAGGCGUAGGCGAUGGAUAACAGGUUGAUAUUCCUGUACCACCUAUAAUCGUUUUAAUCGAUGGGGGGACGCAGUAGGAUAGGCGAAGCGUGCGAUUGGAUUGCACGUCUAAGCAGUAAGGCUGAGUAUUAGGCAAAUCCGGUACUCGUUAAGGCUGAGCUGUGAUGGGGAGAAGACAUUGUGUCUUCGAGUCGUUGAUUUCACACUGCCGAGAAAAGCCUCUAGAUAGAAAAUAGGUGCCCGUACCGCAAACCGACACAGGUAGUCAAGA